UACAGAGGUCCCAAGCGUUGUUCGGAUUCAUUGGGCGCAAAGGGUGCGUAGGCGGCGCGGUAAGUCGGGUGUGAAAUCUCGGGGCUUAACUCCGAAACUGCAUUCGAUACUGCCGUGCUUGAGGACUGGAGAGGAGACUGGAAUUUACGGUGUAGCGGUGAAAUGCGUAGAUAUCGUAAGGAAGACCAGUGGCGAAGGCGGGUCUCUGGACAGUUCCUGACGCUGAGGCACGAAGGCCAGGGGAGCAAACGGG
rnacentral:rRNA from 1 species